AUGAACGCUGGCGGCGUGCCUAAUACAUGCAAGUCGAGCGAACAGACGAGGAGCUUGCUCCUCUGACGUUAGCGGCGGACGGGUGAGUAACACGUGGAUAACCUACCUAUAAGACUGGGAUAACUGCGGGAAACCGGAGCUAAUACCGGAUAAUAUAUUGAACCGCAUGGUUCAAUAGUGAAAGACGGUUUUGCUGUCACUUAUAGAUGGAUCCGCGCCGCAUUAGCUAGUUGGUAAGGUAACGGCUUACCAAGGCAACGAUGCGUAGCCGACCUGAGAGGGUGAUCGGCCACACUGGAACUGAGACACGGUCCAGACUCCUACGGGAGGCAGCAGUAGGGAAUCUUCCGCAAUGGGCGAAAGCCUGACGGAGCAACGCCGCGUGAGUGAUGAAGGUCUUCGGAUCGUAAAACUCUGUUAUUAGGGAAGAACAAAUGUGUAAGUAACUAUGCACGUCUUGACGGUACCUAAUCAGAAAGCCACGGCUAACUACGUG
rnacentral:rRNA from 1 species